rnacentral:rRNA from 1 species
UACGGAGGGUGCAAGCGUUAUCCGGAUUUAUUGGGUUUAAAGGGUGCGUAGGCGGGUUAUUAAGUCAGUGGUGAAAGCCUUCAGCUUAACUGAAGAACUGCCAUUGAUACUGAUGAUCUUGAGUAUGAUUGAGGUGGGCGGAAUGUGUCAUGUAGCGGUGAAAUGCUUAGAUAUGACACAGAACACCGAUUGCGAAGGCAGCUCACUAAGCCAUAACUGACGCUGAUGCACGAAAGCGUGGGGAGCAAACAGG